CAGAUCCCAUACCUGCUCACAGAUGUCUCCGCAACUGCUCCAGGAAAUCAUGUGCUAUCUCUUCAUUCCACUUUCCAAGCCUCAAAUUUUGUGUCCUAAGGAUUCUUGUAAAGAACUCCAUAUCUUUUAAGAAAAUUGGCUAUAUACCUAAAACUAUUCUACUCCCCAAGUAUCUCUGGCUCAAAUAACUUCACCGACAAAUUCUGUAAACUAUUGAAGGAAAUGUAUCAAUUCUACAGAAACUUUUCCAUAAAUUUGAAGUACAAGGAAUUUUUUUUAAACUCAUUCAAUGAGGUUGGCAUUAAAAUGUUACCAAAACCUGAUCAGACAGGAAAAAGAAAAGUUCAAAGUGAUAACCCUUCAUCAACAUAGAUGCAAAGAUUGCAAACUGAAUUUCAACAAAGACAUCAAACAAUAGAUUAAAAAAUACAUCAUGAACAACUGGGUAUUUUCCAAGAAAUAAAAAGUUGAAUGUUAAAAAUUGAUCAAUAUAAUUCAAUUAACAUGCUGAAUUUAGUUUAACAAACUAAAAAAGAAAAUCUAUAUAAUUAACUCAGUAAAUGCAGGAAACUUAUUUGAAUAGUGAGGAUGUUCUCCAAUUUUUUUUCUAGAUGUAUUUUUAACUUUCAUAUGUAUACCUGUGAUUCAUA
rnacentral:lncRNA from 1 species